AGGCCUAAUACAUGCAAGUCGAACGAUAUUAACCAGCUUGCUGGUUAUGAAAGUGGCGCACGGGUGCGUAACGCGUAUGCAACCUACCUUUAUCAGGGGGAUAGCCUCUCGAAAGAGAGAUUAACACCGCAUAACAUUAGUGAAUGGCAUCAUUUACUGAUCAAAUAUUUAUAGGAUAAAGAUGGGCAUGCGUGUCAUUAGCUAGUUGGUGAGGUAACGGCUCACCAAGGCGACGAUGACUAGGGGAUCUGAGAGGAUGACCCCCCACACUGGUACUGAGACACGGACCAGACUCCUACGGGAGGCAGCAGUAAGGAAUAUUGGUCAAUGGAGGCAACUCUGAACCAGCCAUGCCGCGUGCAGGAAGACGGCCCUAUGGGUUGUAAACUGCUUUUAUUCGGGAAUAAACCUUCUUACGUGUAAGGAGCUGAAUGUACCGAAAGAAUAAGGAUCGGCUAACUCCGUGCCAGCAGCCGCGGUAAUACGGAGGAUCCAAGCGUUAUCCGGAUUUAUUGGGUUUAAAGGGUGCGUAGGCGGCUUAUUAAGUCAGGGGUGAAAGACGGUAGCUUAACUAUCGCAGUGCCCUUGAUACUGAUGAGCUUGAAUACACUUGAGGUAGGCGGA
rnacentral:rRNA from 1 species